rnacentral:rRNA from 1 species
GAUCCUGGCUCAGGACGAACGCUGGCGGCGUGCUUAACACAUGCAAGUCGAACGAGAAUCUGUGGAACGAGGAUUCGUCCAAGUGAAGCAGAGGACAGUGGCGGACGGGUGAGUAACGCGUGAGGAACCUGCCUUUCAGAGGGGGACAACAGUUGGAAACGACUGCUAAUACCGCAUGACACAUAGAUGUCGCAUGGCAUUUAUGUCAAAGAUUUAUCGCUGAAAGAUGG